CCUACGGGUGGCAGCAGUGAGGAAUAUUGGUCAAUGGACGAGAGUCUGAACCAGCCAAGUAGCGUGAAGGAUGACUGCCCUAUGGGUUGUAAACUUCUUUUAUAUGGGAAUAAAACAGGGUAGGCAUACCCUCUUGUAUGUACCAUAUGAAUAAGGAUCGGCUAACUCCGUGCCAGCAGCCGCGGUAAUACGGAGGAUCCGAGCGUUAUCCGGAUUUAUUGGGUUUAAAGGGAGCGUAGGUGGAUUGUUAAGUCAGUUGUGAAAGUUUGCGGCUCAACCGUAAAAUUGCAGUUGAAACUGGUCGUCUUGCGUUCAGUCGCGGUGGUCGGACUUCGUGGUGUCUCGGUUCCCUGCUUCGCUCUCACGACUAACUCCGCUUGCUACGUCAGCUCACUGGACUGCAACUUCCACUGCUGCUCUAACGUGUGGGUCUCACACCGCCUUCGCUCCCCAGUAGUC
rnacentral:rRNA from 1 species